GACCGCGUAGCUCAGUUGGCAGAGCAUUGGGCUAGUAUUCCAAAGGUCGUAGGUUCGAAUCCCACCGUGGCCA